rnacentral:tRNA from 1 species
AAUCUUAUAUUCAUAUUUUAUGAUAUAAAAUUGCAAAUUUUAAGGAGUAUUAAUAAUACUAAGAUUU